AAGCUUUACCACAAAUGUCUACAUUAUUCUUGCUAUGCAUCACUGGGGAAAAUAAAUGGCUGUUAUAUGUUUGCUUUUGUGAUCUUCUAAAGGACUUCCUGAGCAUGCCCUCAUCUUGGAUGUCUGGACGAGAUGGAACAGCCUCUUUCUAACGAUAGAGCGCUUUGUGGAGCAAUACCCUGCCAUCCAGGCAGCUGUGAUGGACCCACGGCUGUGGAGGGGAUUGGACAGAGACAGAGUGCAGACUGCAUUGCAGAGGCUAUCGCAUGAUGAUGAUCUCAGGAAGUGUGAGGACUUCAUAGAAACCAUGAGGGUCCUUUACCAGUCAUCUGAGAAUAAUCCUACUGCAGGCCAUAUCCUCCCUAUCCUUGGCAAGCUUAAGCAGAAUUUCAUGGUGGAGGAUGAGGAUUCUAGCUUCUAGCGAUCAAGGAGAGGGUCUGUGAAGAUCCUUCCUCACGCUACAGCUACAGCCCUGGAUCCUCGAUUUAAAGCCAAGGUCCAUGAUGAGGCUGUGUGGUCCAGUGUGGAAGAAGAAGUGGUCACGCUUAGCAGCAAAAAGCGUGGGGAAGUUGCCCAAGAGCAGCAACUUCAGGAGGAUGAGAAGGAGGAAGAGGAGGAUUGGUGUAGUGAAGACAGGGCCCCAGGAGCAGCAGCAGCAGCAUCUUCACCGCCAGCACCACCACCACAUAUAAGAGACUGAUGUUACUGGCACACUUCUUCUACUGGAACCAGGAAGUGACACGCGGUGCAUUGGAGGAGCCGUGGGCGGGGUCUGGUCAGCAAGGCGGAGCCAAGAUGCAGCAGGCGAAUGACGACGAGGGAGGGAGGUCCGGAGCGGAGUCGAAGGAGCGGUGGAGGAAUGGGCAGGGGGGCAGACUUCCGAAGAACCUGUAGGCUUCCCCUGGAAACUUACGGCACGUAACACCAGGCAUUACAGAUUCAGAGCAAGGUAUCGAAAUGAAGUACCGUCGAGUAUCGUAACGAACACCAAGUACCAGUACCGAUAUCGGUUCAAAUGUGAAAGGUAUCCAACCCUAUUGCUGAUCUGUAUGUUGUGCCAACUUGGCUGCCCCCCAGCAACUGUGAUGCAGUGUGAAGUUUUCCUGUGAGUAUACCCUAAUUUAUUCAUGUGUUAAAUGGUUUGAUAUCUUUAUAUAUUAGGCAAGAAAAGUCAAUUUCCUUACUGCAUUAGAAUGAUGCUUACACCAAUGACACUCAAUCAUGAUUCCUUUGUGGACGCCAGGGUUCUUCCAGUUGUGUGUAAGGAGGGUUAACUUUACAUUAAUAUUUAACUUAACUUCACCAUAAUGUUUUUCUACAGUUUUUUAGAUUUCUUUGGGCAUUCCACGUUAAUUAGUCUAGUUUACCUUUGUUCUUAAAGUUACUGUAGUGUUCACUCAACAUUGAAUGAAAAUCAUCUUCAGGUUCUGAAGCCAAUGCAGAGAAAGAUUCUCUUCCUAGAUUCUAAAUGUUUCCAGGCACCAGGUGGAUUUGGUGCUCAAAGAUACACAGCUCUGUUUAGGUUACAAUAAUGAAAAAAAUAAUUUGUGUUCUGAGAUGUUCACAUUCUUAUGACCAAUCUCACAGAAGUUCCAGCGUGUUGCAUGUAUUUGCCUAAUGCAUGCAUAAGGUCAUGUUCUGACCCUGAGAUUAUUCUUUUGACUGGCCUCUAGAAAGCAAAAGUUAGGUAAGAUGCUUGAUUGUUUUGUUGGUUUUCUUGUUCUGGGAUGGUCACGUUCUUAUGACCAUCCUUCAGAAAGCUUUAAAAUUUAAUUUUCUGUUUUGUUUAGAUUUGUAUGUCUUUGUCUACAAUUGACAGGGAUCUUGCAAAUAGGAUCAAUCCAGGGCAGUGGAGUGAAAAGACCGGACUUAAGUUAGAAGUAAAUAUUAUAUAUUUACAUUUUUACAACAAGCAUGUAGUACAUUAUGUAAGUUUUAACCUCCUGAGUCCCGGGCUUUUGUUUGGUGUGCAUGUUUUAUUUCCUUUAGCUAUUUGGGAUUAGUAGGACCUCAUAAUCAUAAAAACCAAACAUAAUUUUUUUUUGAACAAUUAGUAGUUUUAAAGAAAAAUGAUGUCCUUAUAGGAGGAUGUAGGGUCUCAGGAGGUUAAGCUAUGGCGUGUGUUUGUCUUGCCUACAGAGAAUCAUGUAGGCUUACUUGGCCCAUAGAGAGACCAAUCAGGAUGCCUGCUCAGUCUCUCUGUCUCCAUUUCUUUCUUUCUUUCUUUUUGAGAUCCUUGGGUUCUUAUGAGUUGAGAGGUAGGCCUGAUACCAGGUGGAGGUUUCACCUCUCUAUUCCUGAGGGUCUACAGCCUUCAUGGAGACUUUUUUUUUUAUAAAGCUCCCCUACCCAAGCGCUCAGGAGACCUGCAGUGGAGGAUCCUGCACUGUGUGUUGGGUACCAAAGCGUUUGUGUCGAAAUUCAACCCUGAUGUUACUCCACUUUGUGUUUUCUGUCACAAUGUUGAUACUGUGUUCCACGCUUUUUCUGAUUGUUCCAGAAUGCUUCCACUCUUUCAGCUCCUGAGUCGAGCUCUGAGAGGG